GACGAACCGUGCGAACGUUGUUCGGAAUCACUGGGCGUAAAGGGCGUGUAGGCGGAUCGGUAAGUCUGCUCUGAAAGCUCCUGGCUAAACUGGGAGAGGCGAGCGGAGACUGUCGGUCUAGAGUGAGGAAGAGGAGAGUGGAAUUCCCGGUGUAGCGGUGAAAUGCGCAGAUAUCGGGAAGAACGCCCGUGGCUAAGGCGGCUCUCUAGUACGGUACUGACGCUGAGACGCGAAAGCGUGGGGAGCGAACAGG
rnacentral:rRNA from 1 species